GAGAGAGCUAGUGGUGGUGUCAUGGGGUAGAGAGCAGGGAGAAGAGAGAGCUGGGUUUUGAAAUCGUUGCAAAGAGAAAACGCGCAGAGAGAGAGAGAGAGAGAUUUUUAUUUUUUUUGGUUUUUAAUAUUUUAAUCAAUUUAAAAUAUGGGUUCCUCAAGAUCAAUGCUUUUCUUCAUUAAUCUUGCUAUUAUUAUCUUUAACCUUGUUGCUCCCACCAUUGCCCAAGAUGAUGGUAUGUGCACAGAAAAAGCUGAGUACUGCUGGAAAUGCUCUAAUACUGGCACCUACACAGCAGGUGACAAGUACCAAGAGAACCUCAGCAGCCUCCUCUCUUCCUUCUCCUCCAACACCCAAAACAAUUCCGGGUUUUACAAUUCAUCCAGGGGACAAGACUCCAACAAGGUCAAUGCAAUUGCAUUAUGCAGAGGAGAUCUUUCACAGGACUCUUGUCAGGCUUGUCUCAACAAGUCUACUGAUAUUCUCUUGCAAAAUUGUUCAACUCAAAAGGAAGCAAUCAUAUGGGCAGAGCCUUGUAUGGUGAGAUACUAAGACAACUUGAUAUUUGGUAUUAAACAAGAGGACCCUCUUGAGUAUGUGCCUAGCCCAAACCCUGCUAAAAAUCCCCAACAGUUUGAGCUGGUGCUUAGCCCCUUGUUGGAUAUCUUAAGUGAAAAAGCUGCGUCAGGGGAUUCUCUUAAAAAAUUUGCAGCAGGCCAUGCAACUGUCCCUGGAGGUGAAACAAUAUACGCACUUGCUCAGUGCACUCCAGACAUAGACAAGCAAAAUUGCAGCAGUUGCCUUAAACAGUCCGUCACAGAAAUUCAAACCUGUUGCGGUGGAAAGCAAGGAGGAAGAGUUCUUAAACCCAGCUGCAAUUUAAGGUAUGAGGUUAGUCUUUUCUUUGGGUCUACAGCCAAUUCGUUAGUAGAUAUUCCAGCUCCAGUUCCGCCAGCACCAGCACCUGAAGAAGCAAAAAAGAAGAGUAACACAAAACAAACUGUCAUCAUCAUCGUUGUGGUUUUGGUUGUUUUUGUCACUAUUGUCAGCAGCAUAUGCUUUUUCUUCAGAGUAAGGAAACGAAGGGUAAAACUUGAACAAGAUGAGAAUUUGGAAGACGUUAGUCUGGUGGAAUCGUUGCAAUAUGAUUUUGAAACUAUAAGAUCUGCAACAGAUGACUUCUCGGACGCAAAUAAGCUUGGACGAGGUGGGUUCGGAGCUGUUUACAAGGGUAGGCUAUUAAGUGGGAAACCUAUAGCCGUGAAAAGGCUCUCCAAAAAUUCUGAACAAGGUGAUCGAGAAUUUAAGAAUGAGGUCAUGUUACUUGCUCAGCUUCAACACCGGAAUUUAGUAAGGCUCCUAGGAUUUUGCUUGAAAACAGAUGAAAGGCUUCUCAUUUACGAAUACGUACCUAACACAAGUCUUGAUCACUUCAUUUUUGACCCAAACAAUCACGAGCAUUUGGAUUGGGAAACACGUUACAAGAUCAUAGGAGGCAUUGCUCGAGGGAUUCUUUACCUCCAUGAAGAUUCUCGGGUUCGAAUUAUUCAUCGCGAUCUCAAAGCCAGCAAUAUUUUGUUAGAUGAAGAUAUGAACCCCAAAAUUGCUGAUUUUGGAUUGGCAAGACUGUUUGUUAUUGAUCAAACUCAAGGAGAUACACAGACAGUUAGGGGAACCUAUGGAUAUAUGGCUCCUGAGUAUGUAAUUCAUGGUCGUUUUUCUGUCAAAACGGAUGUCUUCAGUUUUGGGGUGUUAGUUCUUGAAAUUGUAAGCGGUAAAAAGAUUGGUAGUUUCCAAUAUGGCGAGAAUGAAGAGAACCUAUUAACCUAUGCCUGGAGAAAUUGGAGGGAGGAUACAAUUCAAAACAUCAUAGAUCCCGAGUUGACGACAAGUUCACAAAUUGAAACGAUGAGAUGCAUCCACAUUGGUUUACUGUGUGUGCAAGAGAAUGUGGUGGACAGGCCAACCGUGGCUUCAGUUGUAUCCAUGCUUAAGAGCCAGUCUCUCGCACUUCCAGUACCCUCACAACCUGCAUUCUAUAUGCAUCACAACACUGGAUCAGACAUAUCUGCACUGACUGAGUCAGACCAAUCCAAAAGCCUCUCUGUCUAUGUCACAGAAAAUGACCCUUCAAAUAUUACUGAACCAUAUCCUCGCUAAUGGUUGAGUACCAACCAUUCUGUAACAAAUUUAGGCUUUAAAUUUUGGUUUAUUUGCUACGUUAGCAUUAUAGUUGGUGUCUUCUUGCUUCAAGUUGGUAUGUUCAUCGUUAAUAAAAUGGCUUA